rnacentral:rRNA from 1 species
AGCGAACGUUAGCGGCAGGCUUAACACAUGCAAGUCGAGCGAGAAAAGGGGCUUCGGCUCCGAGUAAAAGCGGCGGACGGGUGCGUAACACGUGGAUAAUCUGCCUCGUGGCGGGGGACAACAGUCCGAAAGGACUGCUAAUACCGCAUGUCAGGUCGGAAACUCCGGUUUCUGACGAAAAAGAGGGCGUCCGCAAGGAGCUCUCACCACGAGAUGAGUCCGCGUCCCAUCAGCUAGUUGGCGGUGUAAUGGACCACCAAGGCUUAGACGGGUAGCUGGUCUGAGAGGAUGACCAGCCACACUGGGACUGAGACACGGCCCAGACUCCUACGGGAGGCAGCAGUGGGGAAUAUUGGACAAUGGGCGAAAGCCUGAUCCAGCCAUGCCGCGUGAGUGAUGAAGGCCUCGGUCGUAAG